UACGUAGGGUGCGAGCGUUGUCCGGAAUUAUUGGGCGUAAAGGGCUCGUAGGCGGUUUGUCGCGUCGGGAGUGAAAUCCACUGGCUUAACUGGUGGCUUGCUUUCGAUACGGGCAGACUGGAGGUAUGCAGGGGAGAACGGAAUCCUGGUGUAGCGGUGAAAUGCGCAGAUAUCAGGAGGAACACCGAUGGCGAAGGCAGCCCCCCUGGGCUAACACUGAC
rnacentral:rRNA from 1 species